ensembl:lncRNA
UCCCUUUUUCCUGCCCUCACCAGCCCAGAUGGUUUACGUUCUUCCUGAAAAUGCUUAACAGAAGCAAGCGUUACAGCUUCUUUCUAGGUGUCAGAAAUGUUCCUUAGCACGGUUUGUGUUAAAAGCUCUGUUGGCUGCGCUGUUUCAUAGUAUGAAGUUCAGUAUUUAUGUUAAAAUUACACAGUGUUCUCAAUGGAUUUGUCCUUAAGUUGAACUAUGAGCCGUAAUUAUCCGUAGGCUGUUUCAGCUGUGUGGGACCACGUUUCCUGUAAUCAGAUUUUUUUCUGUCAUCAGAAAAUAUUCUCACUUUAUCAUCAGGGCAAUAAUCAGCAAGUGCAAAAGCUGCUCAUUUUCUCCUGCCUACUCCUGCGGGUCAGGUGGCCAAAUCUAUUCUUCUUGUAAGGCUCCAGCUAAUCCAGGCAGCGUGUUUCCUUUGUGCAGCCCUCACAGCACAGCUGGGAAACUCCAUCCAUAGCUUUACUCUGAUGCAGAGCUCAUUUAUGCCAUGACUGGAUUCACAGUUCCAUGCCCUAGUCCCAAAACAAGUACCAUAACCACAUCCCUUGAAUGUACACUGUGUGGAGGACUGGAAGCAAAACAAUGAGAAAUGGUCUGUGUGGGCCUGGCAUAAGGAAGCCAGACAACAAGAGGGAACCAAUCAGACUGAUAGCAGCUGCUCACCUGUUCUGAAUUUAGCCCCUCUAAAAGGGGAUGGGUGCAAGCUGUGUUGAGCAUAAAAAAUCAUUUUUCAAGUAGUCUUGUUGUGUCAUUUUAGUUCUGGAUGCAUCCUAGCAGGUGUUCUUGUAGAUCAACUGUUGCAGUGGUAGCACUGCACACUGACUCAGCUCAUCCAGGUGAUGGCUUCAUUCAUUCUCAACCACUUCUUAUCCCAGUAAAGUACAAAGACAAGAAGGUCUACUGAGAGCCACGCGGUGGAGUGUUUCUGAUGCUAGAAAUACAAACUUACCUGGUAAGCACUGGUAUUUGACUUCAGUGACACAUUCUUCAUCUCAACUGUUUACGACACUAAACAAGUAAGGUAGAUGUGAUAAUUGGGAUUCAGCUCACCAUAAAUGUUUUGACUGCAAACUUUUAGCUCUGGUCAUGUGAAUUUCUUGAAGAUUCUGUAUAUCCAGCCUGUAAGGAAAGAAAACUCAUAAAGCCCCUGAGGGUGCUUCUGCCUUAUGUAGAUGACAUGAGUAGUGAUUGAAUAGAAUUAAUAUACUUUUCUUCUCCUAAGUGGAGCUACAAUUCAGUUAAUAUUACACUGUAAAAAGACUGCCUUGGAAAUCUUUGUGUCUUCAAUUCCCACUGUAUAGCCUUUUAUCAAGAGUCAAAAACUGGAAUAACAGAAUCAUAGAAUGGUUUGGGUUGGAAGGGACCUCAAGGAUCAUGAAGCUCCAACCCUCCUGCCGCAUGCAAAACCACCAGCCUCUACUAGACCAGGCUGCCCAGGGCCCCAUCCAACCUGGCCUUCAGCACCUCCAGGGACGGGGCAUCACAACCUCCCUGGGCAGGCUGUGCCAGCACCUCACCACUCUCAUAGUAAAGAACUUCCCCCUGACAUCCAACCUAACUCUUCCCUCCUUCAACUUAAAACCAUUUCUCCUUGUCCUGCCAUUAUCUACCCCUGUAAAGAGUUGGCUCUCCUCCUGUUUGCAGGCUCCCUUUAGGUACUGAAAGGCUGCAAUGAGGUCAUCCCACAGCCUUCCCUUCUCCAGACUGAACAAGCCCAGCUCCCUCAGCCUGUCUUCAUAGGGGAGGUGCUCCAGCUCUCUGAUCAUCUUUGUGGCCCUCCUCUGGACCCUCUGUAACAGUUCCCUGUCUCACUUGUAUUGGGGGCCCCAAACCUGGACACAGUAAGGCACAUCAGUUAGCAUUACUGCUUCACCAGAGACUGUGUUCCUUGUAGGAACCUUAGGCAGCAAGAGAUUCACUUACAAUACACCCAGGAAAGCCCAGCCACACAGCUCCUGAGCUCCUUGAAGCAGUUUCAGCACAGUUACAGACAGCUUAGAGGAAGCCCACAGUUUGCCCCACCCACAUCUCCCAGCCUCCUGCCUAAACCCCAUUGGUGCACCUGGGUUAUUUGUGUGGUAAAUAGAAGACAAAAAGCUGCUAUAAAUUCAGCAGAUAGUUUUGCUCAUGUGGGGAAGGCUUAUGAAGGCGCAGAACUAAUGUUAGAAUCUCUUUUUUUCCAUCUUCCAACUGGAGAAGGGCCUCCUAGUGUUGUAAAUAUCACUGCACAGAGUGCCUCUUGGACUCCUCUAAAUUUAUGCUGCAUGUGACCUCAGAAGCAGCCCUGGGAUUGGGAAGAAACAAAUAUUUCUGUUUGCCCCCUUUAUACUUUAUUGUUGUACAGGAGCUCAUAGAUUUGUAAAGAAAACUUGAUCUUACCAGUAUGCUUCCUCAUUCUGACUGAUGCCUAUGAUUUCAGGGUCUUAAGUUGGUCCAAUAAAUGUUCAUUAACCUCCGCUUCCCUGGACAUAAUAGAAGUACCCUAGGUUAUUCCAUGUCUCAGAGUGGCAAGAUUAUUGUACUGAAAUGGUAACUUAAUUUAGAUGAUCCUGGCCACUGCCAUGCAGCUGUUGAAAAUCAGAGGGACAUUUUUGAUCUUACCCGUAAAACUUUAUUAUUCCAUCUUUUUAUUUAAUUUUGGUUGAUAAAUAUGCAGCACUACCAGGUUCUGAGUGCAAAGAUCACUACUUACUUCAGAGACAUCACUAGCAAGGUUACCCAGUUGAUUUUGAAAGGACAAACAGAAGGUGAGACGUAAGAGCUUAAGCAGCAUUGAAGGAGGGUGGAUGUUUUGUAACCAGGUACUGGAGCCAGUAGUACAAACUGAACUCAGUAUGUCUUCCAUUCUUGUCCUUAGCUCUAAGGAAAUUAUUUCAGAAUACCAUCACUGAAAUGAAUAUUUGGAAAAAUACAUAAAUAAUUAGUUCUUAUGUGGGAGAUAGAUGUAUUUAACUGAGACUUCGGUUAAUAUUCUAGACAGUGAGGAAAUUGAUCUCAUGUAGUUUUACCCUUUUCUUUCUAAGAAAAAAUAAAAUGGUGCAU